CCUACGUGAGGCAGCAGUGAGGAAUAUUGGUCACUGGGCGCGCGCCUGAACCAGCCAAGUAGCGUGAAGGAUGACUGCCCUACGGGUUGUAAACUUCUUUUAUAAAGGACUAAAGUGAGGCACGUGUGCCUUUUUGUAUUUACUUUAUUAAUAAGGCUCGGCUAACUCCGUGCCAGCAGCCGCGGUAAUCCGGAGGAUCCGAGCGUUAGCCGGAUUUAUUGGGUUUAAAGGGAGCGUAGAUGGGUUGUUAAGUCAGUUGUGAAAGUUUGCGGCUCAACCGUAAAAUUGCAAUUGAUACUGGCAGCCUUGAGUACAGUUGAGGUAGGCGGAAUUCGUGGUGUAGCGGUGAAAUGCUUAGAUAUCACGAAGAACUCCGAUUGCGAAGGCAGCUUACUAAACUGCCACUGACAUUGAUGCUCGAAAGUGUGGGUAUCAAACAGGAUUAGAUACCCGGGUAGUC
rnacentral:rRNA from 1 species